CCCAUUUUUGAUAAUAAUCUUGUUGAUAUUUUCUGUAUUUCUGAAACCAAAAUUGAUCAUUCUUUCAGUGAUAACCUGUUCUCAGUUGAUGGAUACAAGUUACACAGAUGUGAUAGAGAUGCCCAUGGUGGAGGCUUGCUGACACUAAUACGGGCUGAUUUACCUAUUAAACGCCGUACAGAUUUAGAAAAUCAAGGUAUCAAAAAAGUGUAAAUGUCCCAAGGGUCAAAACAGUAACAUACGGUAAGAAUUCUUUUAAGUUUGAAGGUGCCCAGAUUUGGAACAGUCUCCCUAAUGACAUCCGCAAGGUUGAAAAUUACAAAGAGUUUGGGAGACUGAUCCAGGUCUGGAGUGGCCCAAGCUGUAAAUGUGCUAUGUGCUUGUAAAUUUGCUAUGUGUUUGUUUUUCUGCUUAGUUUUAAUUUAUGUAAAUGCUUAGACUACAUGUUUUGUUUGUUUGCCUUGCUUUUGUGCAUCCCUUUUAGUUUGCUAUGAUGCUCUGAUUAUAUGUUGUGUGUUAAUUUUUCUUAAACCCUUGUAUUUUAUGCUAGUUGAAUCUUUGUUGUGUUUGUAUGCUUUGUUUAUAUUAAUACUCCUUAUUCCCCAUUCCAUUAGGCUGUGCAUGCAACUUAAUUUUAGUUAAUUUUGUUUGUUACACUGUAUGUGCUUUAUCUUGUUUCUUUUUUAUGCUGUAUAAGUUCUAUCAUAAAUUUUUAUGCACUUUUAUAAAUAAGUUUAAUUUUAUCUAUUUAUUUAUUUAUAUAUAUUUUUUAGGAAACCUUCAAUUAUGUAUUUAUAAAUUGUAGAUGUUAACUUAUAACUAUUACUAUUUUAUUAAUUUUUUAUUUUUUAUUAUUAUUUUUAUUUAUUUCACAUUGCUAUAUGUAUCAUACUUAAAUUUCUAGACUACAGUCAUUUAUUACUUUUAGAAACUGUUAUUACCUUUAAUACAAUAUGUAGUCUUGUAGAUCUACUGUGCAUGUCAUCAAGCUAUGCCUUAAUUUACCAUCUUAUUGUAAAGUUCUUCUUAACCUUGAUACUCUUAUUUCAUGCUUAAGCUGCUAAUAGUUUUAUAUGUUUUUAUUUUCAGAACUGUUAUAUGUUAGCAAAUAUGUUUUAUGCUUUUGUUAUUGUCGGUAAAUAGCUUAUUAGCUAAUGUUUCUUGUAAUAUGUAAACCGACUUAAAAUAAAGUUUCUUGUAUCUUGUAUCU